UCAAUGUAGACCUAUUUCAAUAGUUGUGACUUGACUUUCAACGAACUAGACUGAAUACAUUUAUAUGUGGAAAAACGAAGUAAUUUCAGAUGGCGUUUAAGGAUAUUUUGAUAACAAUUUGUAUUGUGUCAUGGAUCACUUGCUCUUUAUUAGAUGCCAGGAACAUUCCAGUAAAAAGAAACGUUGAGACUGACAUGUGCCCGACGCCCACGGUGUCAGCUAAUGGACAAGUUGAUUGUGAAUAUUCUGAUGCAUUACAAAUUGAGAUCUACUGUACCAUAUCAUGUAAAACUGGAUACAUGUUUG